GUUGAUGGCCAUACCAGCCCGAGUGCGCCCAAUCUCAUCUGAUCUCAGAAGCAAAGCAGGGUCAGGAGUGGUAGGCUUUAAAAAAAAAUAAAAAUUCAUUCUUCAGAGAAGCAUUAACU
rnacentral:rRNA from 1 species